rnacentral:lncRNA from 1 species
CCAACUGGAUCCCAGCUCUGAUUCCAAGACUCUCCCUGGAAUCCUUUAAUAGGAAGCCAAAUCUUUACAAAAGACACUUCCUCCUUUCUGUGCUCACAUGGCAUUCCACAGACAAAGGAAGCAGAUAUAUUCUUGGUAAUUCUUGGUGGAGUGAGAAGCAAAUGGAAAUCUGUUUUCUUCUACACAAAGAGGAAGAAGCAGCAGUAGAGCCAGAAGCAGGAAGCAGAUAAAAAAUUUAAUCUCAUCAUGGACACAAAAACAUACUAAAACAAACC